AGGGAAUAUUGCAAAAUGGGCGAAAGCCCGAUGCAGCAACGCCGCGUGGGCGAUGAAGGCCUUCGGGUCGUAAAGCCCUUUUUGAGGGGAUGAGGAAGGACAGUACCCUCAGAGUAAGCCUCGGCUAACUACGUGCCAGCAGCCGCGGUAAAACGUAGGAGGCGAGCGUUAUCCGGAUUUACUGGGCGUAAAGCGCGUGCAGGCGGAUUGGAGAGUUGGAUGUGAAAGCUCCCGGCUUAACUGGGAGAGGUCGUUCAAUACUUCCAGUCUUGAGUGCAGUAGAGGGAAGUGGAAUUCCGGGUGUAGUGGUGAAAUGCGUAGAUAUCCGGAGGAACACCAGUGGCGAAAGCGGCUUCCUGGACUGUAACUGACGCUCAGACGCGAAAGCUAGGGUAGCAAACG
rnacentral:rRNA from 1 species